CAGAAUGUUACUUACAAGGUUUUGAGGCCUUCUGAUUCCCCUCCUUCCCUUUUCCAAGAAUCCUUGUGAUUACAUUGAGCGCACAUGGAUCAUUCAAGAAAAGGCAGAGGAACCAGAGAUAAAAUUGCCAACAUCCAUUGGAUCACUGAAAAAGCAAGAGAG